GACAGAGGUGCCGAGCGUUAGGCGGAAUCACUGGGCUUAAAGCGUGUGUAGGCGGGCGGGCAAGUACCUUGUGAAAUCCCACGGCUCAACCGUGGAACGGCUGGGUAUACUGCCUGUCUUGAGCCAGCCAGGGGCAGUCGGAACAGACGGUGGAGCGGUGAAAUGCGUAGAUAUCGUCUGGAACGCCAAAGGUGAAAACAGACUGCUGGGGCUGUGCUGACGCUGAGACACGAAAGCCAGGGGAGCGAACGGG
rnacentral:rRNA from 1 species